UGGUUAAAAAGCUCGUAGUUGGAUCUCAACAGCCUUGAAGCGGUUAACUUUGUAGUUUUACUGCUUUAUAGGCUGUGCUUUUGCUGGAGGUUUAGGGGUGCUCUUGAUCGAGUGUCUCUGGAUGCCAGCAGGUUUACUUUGAAAAAAUUAGAGUGCUCAAAGCAGGCUAAAAUGCCUGAAUAUUCGUGCAUGGAAUAAUAGAAUAGGAUGUCGAUCCUAUUUUGUUGGUUUUCGGGACUCGACAUAAUGAUAAAUAGGGACAGACGGGGGCAUUUGUAUUCAAACGACAGAGGUGAAAUUCUUGGACCGUUUGAAGACAAACUACUGCGAAAGCAUUUGCCAAGAAUGUUUUCAUUAAUCAAGAACGAAAGUUAGAGGUUCGAAGGCGAUUAGAUACCGCCCUAGUUCUAACCAUAAACGAUGCCAGCUAGCGAUCUGCCUGCGUUUUUACUGUAGACUGGGCAGGAAGCUUCCGGGAAACCAAAGCAUUUGGGUUCCAGGGGAAGUAUGGUUGCAAAGCUGAAACUUAAAGGAAUUGACGGAAGGGCACCACCAGGAGUGGAGCCUGUGG
rnacentral:rRNA from 1 species